GUACUGGCCAGUAAUCAUUUGUUCCAGGUUUCUGGACCGGCAAAAAUGGCGUGUUCCAGGCCGACUGGCAUGGGGGUUCAAGGAGUGAGAGCAGAGCGAAGUCUUGGAGACGCUGAACUUGCUGUUGCACUGGAAAACGAGAUGUGCGGGAUUUCCAAAAGAAGGAUGGAAGAUAGAAGAGAGAGAGAGAGGUCUGCCAGAAACCAAGGCUUAGCUCUCCAGCGUCCUGGGUCUUGAGCUAAGUCAAGGGAGGGUCCUGGUCAGGACCACUUCCCACCCAAACCAAGAUACGAAGGCGCCUACCGGAAAACGAAGGCUCAACCCACUAGCAUCCUAGAGUAAUGGGCUGAGUCAAAAGAGGGACGCCCUCGUCAGGGCCGCUCCCCUCUCACCGGAAACGAAGUCACAUCCGACCUACCUGACCCCGGGGUCAGAAGCUGAGGACUCAGCGCCCUCGUCAGGGCCGCUCCCCUCUCACCGGAAACGAAGUCACAUCCGACCUACCUGACCCCGGGGUCAGAAGCUGAGGACUCAGUGCCCUCGUCAGGGCCGCUCCCCUCUCACCGGAAACGAAGUCACAUCCGACCUACCUGACCCCGGGGUCAGAAGCUGAGGACUCAGCGCCCUCGUCAGGGCCGCUCCCCUCUCACCGGAAACGAAGUCACAUCCGACCUACCUGACCCCGGGGUCAGAAGCUGAGGACUCAGAUGUUGACUUUUAGGGCGCUGACACAGUGGUCGAUCCGCUCUCCUCUGGAAGGCGGUCACUCUUUGCAGACCUGAAAAUUCUUUCCUCAGGUGGUGUCCCUCCUCCGAGCUGGCCAUCCUUCCGGGGGAGCCCGGAGCGAGACCGGCUCUCGCCCAGUGGUGUUAAUAUCUCGCUGCGGCCUCCAAAAAUGUUGUACCCAGGCGAGUUAGAGAAAACGCCACACUUUGAGACGAAUUAAGAGUCCUUUAUUAAGCCAGCGGCCAAAGAGACGGCUAAUGCUCAAAAUUCUCUGGGCCCCGAGGAAGGGGCUUGAUUAACUUUCAUACCUAGGUUUAGGAAGGGGAGGGGAACUCAAGUGCAAUAAUUCUACGGAAGUAAAAACAUGCAAGAAUCAAAAGAAGCAAAAUGGUUACAGAGAGAUAAACAAUUUAAAAGACAAAUGGUUACAAAAAGAGCAACAGUACCAGGUGCAGGGCUCUAAAUCUUUCAUUAUAAUUAGAUAUAGGGGCUAUGCCGGGCAUGAACUCAAGGCUUUAUGUUGUUAUCUCCUUGAGAAAAAUCCUGGGAACUUCAUACAUUGUUGGUGCUAGUACCUUAUCAGUUAACUGGGCUCCUUUGAAAUGCUGAGAAUCUGUUUACACAGGUUAACUCCUUACGGAAGGGGGUUGGGUGAGGAGCCCUUAGUGUCUUGUAAAUUAAGGGGUCAAUUGGAGUUUGUCCAGCUUUCCCAGCUAGAGAGAGUCUUACUUACAUGAGAAGCAAGGCUAGGUGAUUAAAGAGACAAACAGGGAAGAUUCAAAGUAGUGAGUUAGAGUGAAAACAAGGUUAGGCAUUUCAACUGACCACAAUACUCAGACAACAGCUCCCCCGCUACCCAGGAAAAAAAAAUAGCUGGCAUUCACUACAAAGCACUAUGAUUAAAUGUGUACUACAGGUCCCAAGGCUGCAGACAACCACAGACACUGUUAUCUGGCAUAGCAUUUUAAGGGCUCAGAGUUCUCAUCAGGAGGUAACUGAGAGCCAUAAAUGAACAAUGUUUUUCAGGAAUGUGCAGGGUUUAAACAAUCCAGGUCUGCUGAGUUAACCUUCUACUGUACACAAAUCCAGAUUAGAGGGCAGCAGGGACGUUCAAUGGAUGGCCAGACUCAGGA
rnacentral:lncRNA from 1 species